GUCCUGAAGACUGGAUUGGGAAACACUUCUUUAAAUUAAUUAUUUACUCUUUUUUUUUAAUAGGACUGCUGCAAGUUAAAGGAUUGACAUUUAGCUGAAGGAUGUCAUAUUACAUCACUGAAACAAUGAUGUCACGCAAUCAUAACAGGACUGAAUGAUCCCUGUUUUGAAAUAAUCUUCAUGGAGGGAUUCACACAUUAAUGGCACGUUGAUGCAAGUGGGAUGAGAAUACAGGUAGGACUCAAGCAGAGAGCUGAAACCAAUAUAGUGAAAGAAGUAGCUUCAAGAGCAUCCGAUCAGCCGAAGGGGACCAAGAUACCGAUGAAACCCAGCAAGUGAAUCCAACAGAACCAAGAGAUCAAAUACAGAUAUAAAACCAAAAAGAGAAUCCAGACCAAAAGUGAGAGCUAUAAGCAUUAAACAGGGGGAGGUUAAAUAGAUGUAUGAAUUGAUUACAGACGUGGGUGACUGGAGGUAGAGGGUGUGCCUACAGCAUGAAACUUUGGAAGCGACAUCAGAAAUUAAUUGCAUGGAGUGAAAUAUGUUUGCCGUUGCUGUGAAAUUGUAUUUAGCAAUUUGUACGUUUCUGCAAAUGUACUUUAAUGACAUUAUGGGAUCUACAGAUGUUCAUGUAAUUCAUUUCCCCCCCUCCUUAAUGCCAUAUCAAAUUGUAAAUGGCAGCCCUCAAAUCUGACAUUAAUGCACCUUUCCCCAGCUCUGAGAGCUGCUGCCAACAGUAAUGAGACGGCCUGGCUUUGGGAGAGCCUGAUCACAUAAUAACAGAACCAUUAGGAAGUCAUUAUAUCCACUGGCAUAGUGAUAGACACAGCAAGCCUCAUUUUCUCUGAAAUUAUUCUGGAGUCACUAACCUGUCUACAUCUUCAACCUUAUCGCCAUGGGAAAUACCAAAGAAACGUCUAAGGACAGCAGAGAAAUGAUUGUUGACCUUCACCAAAGUGGAAUCGGCUACAUGACCAUCAGCAAGCAGCCUGGUGACAACUGUGAGCGGAAUUAUUCACAAAUGGAAGAAACACAAAAUAACUGUCAAUCUCCCUCGGUCUGGGGCCCCAAGGAAGGUUUUAUCUCAUGCAGCAUCACUGAUCUUAAGAAUGGUGAGGGCUAACCCCAGAUAUACAUGGGAGGAGCUCGCUAAUGAUGGGACCACAGUCACCAAGCAAACCAUCGGUAACACAUCCUGCCGUUACGGUUUGAAAUCCUGCAUUGCUCCCAACGUACCCCUGCUCAACAGGGCCCGUGUUCAGGCCCGUCUGAACCAGUGGACACCUGAAUAAUUCCAAUGAGGCUUGAAAGAAUGUGAUGUGGUCAGACGAGACCAAAAUCAAGCUGUUUACAUUGUUCUGCGUGACCACAAGUGGAACAGCAAGCAAACCCGAUGUGGCAGAGCUUCACCAAAGGCAACAGGUGAUUAACCCCAUGACAGUAAAAGUUGCUGAUCAGGGGGGGUUUCACCAUGGCUCCUUUAGGAGAUGUAACUGCGAGGAUGCACCACUGCAGACACACGAAGAGCCGCAGUGAGCAGUGUGACAUGGGGAAACCAAGGACCAGCCCAGCAUGCAGAUGCCAGCAGCCAUACCACCUGCCCUCCAGACUACAUGAUCCAUCAGAAGUAAACACGUCUGGGUCUGUUCAGUACUUGGAUGAGAAAUCAUCUAGGAAAUUGGGUUGCUGCUGGAAGAAGUGCUGGUGUGGCCAAAAGAUUUGCCUAUCCUGUGGUCUGCCGCCGCAUCAUCCAGAUGUUCUUAUCCAAAGCGACAUACAUUCCUGAAAAAACAACAUCCAACAGACCCUGAAGCAACUGCGUGGUAAGAGACUUGCUCAUCAACCCAACAGAGGAGUUACUCAGCCAGUGACUUUCCAAUCACUGACUCAGCGUC